rnacentral:lncRNA from 1 species
UGCUCAUAUAUUUGGCACUGAAAAUAUUACCGUCACAAAUAUAUAUUUUUGACCACAAAGUAUUGUGAAAAAAAAUCACAAAGCUUAUUUAUUGUUAUUUUUUAAAUAAAUCACAGUGGUCAUACAUUUUUUUUUUUUUAUUCAAUGCCCUGAACAAAAAUUAACAGCAAAAAUAAAAUAAAUUUUUUUCUAAAAUUACAGCUGCAGUGCCACUUUCCUUGUUUUCUCAUUGGUAGACCAACAUCAGGAGCCAUAACACAUCAUGUCAGUGGGCGGUAAGUAAAGCUUCGGAGUCCUUAUAUGGUGUAGUGGGUAAAAUUUGUCUGGUAAUGGUAUCCUCUUCAGUGGUCAGAAAUGUACAGACAGGAGGCUAGUUUGGGUAAGGAGUGGUUGAAACAAAUAUAAUUUUUCACUGAAAUGUAACACUGACCUACGGAGGCUCCUUGGUAACAACAUGUUCCCUCUAAGAAUUUUGAAUGAGCUAUCCUGCACUCCUCUGAAAACGAAGAAGCAACCAAUGACAGCUAUGAAAUAAAUAUUGACAUUUUGACAAAUGUGGUCAAAUGUGGUCAAAUGUGUACUUGACAAAAGACUCACUUUUAAAUCCAAACAUUACCAGAUUGCCUUUUGGUCGUUCUAAUAAGGGCACAUUUUCAAUUUUAAGAAGACUAUCCUGUACUUUUGAGUUGUAAAUAUUUUUCUUGUCACGGUCCAUAAUAUAAGUAGUACUGUAUCCAACACUGUUUUAUUCUAAUAAACCAGAAAUUGUUGAAAAUUUGGUUAAAAAAAAAGUUGGACUUGAAAAAAAAAAAAAAAAACUGGUAAUUUUUUCUCCAAUUUUACUAUUCUGGCCUAAAAUGUUACGAAUCCUCCUCAAUUCUGACAAUAAUUCCAAUAACAGAGAAUUAGAAUACAUUUAUUUUUUUAUGAGAAUACAGCUUAUAAAACAGAUAAGCUGUAUUGUUUAUGUCUCUAAAUGUAACUCAUUACUUGCUUUAUGUUCUAGAACCAGUAACAUAUUUGAAUUUGUCUCUGUUGAUUUUUUUCAUAAAAACAUGAUUUACAUCAAAUCACUGCUGGCCCUUCAUCACGAACAGUGACCUGUGGCGGUCUCAUUCACGUAAAGGUUUAUUAUUAACAUUAUAUGGCAGAUAUUGCUGAAACGUUGGUAAAGAGAGAGAAAGAGAGCUAAGUGGCACUGCAGGUCAUGUAGACAAAGUCACUUAACAUAGCAAAUGUAAUCACCAUGGAUAUUAGGGAAUUCAUGCUUUUAGUUUUAUAAAAAACAAUAUUUUCAUUCAACAUGCAGACCGGUUUAGAGUCAUGCAUUACUGAGAACUACGAGCAUGUGGCAGUACAAGAGCGGCAGAGUCACCCAUUACCGUUCCCAAUGCAGAUAAAGCCCCAUCCCUUAAUGCAUCUCUUCCUGUCAACCUUGAGCGUGGUCUACUUCUAUCCCUUUUGGAACCAAUCCCUUUCCUGCCAACUAAUAUAUAUAGAAGAUGAGGUCUCCAGUCUGAGAAAAUGCAGUCAUGCAGAGUUAACAGCAAUGGGAGGAAGCAACCAAUAUCAUGAAUUACAAUGCAUUGCACACAGCAUUAUGCAUUUUAAAGGGCAGACCUACAAUGUUCCCCCAUUUGAAUACACUAUAUCAAAAUUGAAUCAUCUUUGUCAGUUUAGAUAAAGCUCAAACCAGCGUUUGUUUUUGUUUUUUUCUUGGAUUUCAGCUUUUCCCACAUGAAUGGAAAUUGGUUGAUAAUAAAAGUAAUGCAGAAGUUUCUACUGACAAACAAAAAACAAUCUAACAAUAAAAAAUAUAUAUAUAUAUUUUAAACAUUUGUUCAACUUUUAACAUCAGUACCACUACAAACUAUGUGUGUAUAUAUGUGAAUAUACAUAUGAUAACUCCCAAGUAACCUGGAUUUCGAGGGAAAGUCCUGAGUCUACAUAUAUAUGUAUAUACAUAGAUGUCAUCAUGCAUACACGGAACUGGUUGGAAUAAUGUAUCAGCUUAGUGCAUGCAUAUUGACCCACUGAUGCUACACCCCUAAAAGUCCAGCUUUGACCAUCCUGUAUAUUGGGAGGUAUGUUAUAUGUAUAUUUAGAUAUAUAAACAUGACAAGGAUCACACAGAAAUGUCAUUUUAAAAAUGCAUAUUCAAAUACCCCUCUUUGAAUCUGCAAAACGUACAGGUGCACAUAUUUUAUACAAAAGAGAAGUUACCACGAAUAGAUUUGUCCAAGUAAAUACAAGAACAAGUAACACUUUCAAAAAUAAAACAAACAAUUGAUUAACCCAGUCCCCCCCACAUAAAUUCAGUAAAAGUUUGGAAGAUCCCAUGAAAUAUUUUUUUGUAAUUUUUUGUGUUUGCAAAACCUGUGAAAAAAGUUAACAGUACAUGCAUUAAUUCAACUACACUCUCUUAAACCUGUGAGCGUUAGAGGGGGUUCAGCAAUUAAAUAAGCUGCCCACCUCUCUGGCACCCAAAGGGUUAAAGGGUUGCUAGCGGUGUUCCCUUUAAAAAGUUGUUAUAAUGAAUUUACUGCACAGUAAAUACAAAAUAGUCCUGACAAAUAUAGAACACAUGCACGCCUACCUAUAUAACUAAUUCUAAAUAAACAUUGACAAAGAAAGACUGAUAAAUAUACACAUCUAUUCCCUGUGAAGCCAAAUUAAGCAAAAGGCCACGGUGGUUCUUAUUUUCUGUUCUUUUUUUUUUUUUUUUAAAUAUACAUUAAUGUGAUUUCCUAAAAUUGUUAGUUAAAUGGUCAUUGCAAUAAAACCAUGAUUCCAGUUCUAAUCUAUUAUCAGUGUUUAUGUUAAAAGAUGACAAAUUCACAGCAUGAGCUUUCCUGUAAAUUAUGUAAUCGGAGGUGGAUUUAAGACUGAAGACACGUAUAGUAUAGCCCCACAUGCUCCCAACAUCCACAAUAAAAAGACAUUAUGGAGAGAAGUAUGUAAGAGAGUAGGCAAUGCGUGUAUACGUGGGUUUGGAUAAUGCGGCUGUGCGUGUUUGUGUUGUGCUACCCACUAAAAAUGGUGCUAAAAAAAUGCGCCAUUCUGUAUCUCAUGAAGUCUAGUCUUGAAUCCUUAAAUCAGGCUUCGAUAAAAUUAUAUUCCCACUGUAAUUUUUGCCACUUUCUGAAUAAAAACGCAUGAUACCAUAUUAGCCAUUACAUCAGUGACACGUUGUAGUAACUAAAUUAAAAAGCGCGUAUUAUGCAGCAUUUUACAAAUGUUCUAUCUUUACUAUUUCAUUAACCUCAUGUUUAAACCUUGAGGUUAAUAAAAGAGUUAAUUCUUUCCUCUGCCAGAGUUACCGUCUAGAGAAUAUUGGGCAGGAAACAACAAAAACAAUGACUCUGGCAAUUUGACAAUACAUUCAAUAGUAGAAAAUGGAAACAUUUAAAAGCAUUCCGAUAGUUGGCGCACACGGCAGGGCUCAGUAGUCCCCCAGGGCAAUAUACACGCUGCGCCAACUUAAAGCCAGGCAGGGUUGGUUAAUGAGGCACAUGCAGCACUGGGUAUACAGAAGGAAAUGUAUCAUUAUUGAUAUCAAAUUUGCUACAGGGAAGCAGCCCUCUGUAAUUAAGGGUUGAAUUUAAUUCAAAAUGCAUGUUCUUGUCACAUAACGAAUAGGACCUCAUACUACGGUUUUGAACUUCAUAAGAACAAAGCUAGGGGGUCAGUGUUCAGAGAAAGUCGCCAUCAGGAGCCUAUCAAUCUGUUUAUCAUGUCAAUUAGCUGAAUUCUAUGAAUAUAGCAUGAUUUGGAAUUUCGGCUCAUUGUUUGGGUGUACUGUACGUUUGCUAUACAUUUAUGUAACUCCCCUAAAUAUGGGUCAUGCCAUUAUCCUGAAUGCAGUUCUAUCUACAAUUCUAUCACUAUAGACUCAAUCCUUCACAGCCUAUAAGCUUCUUGUGACAUGGUGAGGGACACGUCUAUGAUGAGAUGUGGAGAUUUGUUCCUUAUUCUUGUUAGAUUUAUGGGUCCCCUUGCCUUUUUUAAGUUAAAAUUAAGCAUUAGCUACAUUCAAAUGUAUCCAAAUGUGAGUUUCUUGGAAGGUUGAAGGUGUUCAGGAGAUAGUACAUCUAGAGGCUGUUUUCAAACCAAUACUGACAUUUCUUAGAAAUGGCAAGAUUUUACAAUGUCAGAGUAAAUGGACAGCAUCAACGUACCAAAACCACUAUGUAAGCUUUGGUGUCUCUUCAUCUUUUAAAGUCACACCAAAUUCCAAGUGACUUCCCGACUGCAUUAGAAAUAGCUUUUAUAUAUGAAUCUUUGCCCAUUAAUGUAAAAUCAAUAGUUAAAAGGACACUAUAAGCACCAAGACCACUUCAUGUCAAAGAGGUGUAGGUGCAGUGACCCUGUCCUCUUUACACUGCAGCUGAAAACAUUGGAGUUUCAAAGAAACUGCAAUCUUUAAAUUGCAGGGUUAACACUGCCUCUAGUGGCUGUCUAACUCCGUGAAACGCUGCUGGACAUAAUCACAUUCUGCAUGAAGUCAUCCAGCAUCUUGCAAAUUCUCAUAGGAAACUAUUGAUUCAAUGCUUUCCUAUCGGGAAGGCCUAAUGCAUGGGCGGCACGGGCAUUAGGUUCCCAAUCGUGCCAACCUAAGAGGUGGAAGAGGUGGAGACGGAGCCAGUGCUGAAGGACCUCAGCGCUGAAAUCAGGUAAGUGUUUAAAGAUUUUUUGGCCCUUUGAUUGUCAAGGGUGGAGGGGCUGCGAAGGGAGACAGACAGAAGAGGUUGCUGACAAAAAAAAAAAGAAAGAAAGAUCUGCUUUCCAAUUCAGAAUUUGACUGAGCUCAAACUAUACAGUUAAGUACAAAAAGUCCACAAUUACAGUUAACUGUAUCGUGGGCCUUCAUGUCGCGCUUAAUACUUUGAUUACAUGGAAGACACAGGCUUAACUGAGGUUAUAACAGCAGACAGCGAUACCUGCACUGAUAUUACAGAUUAUAGUGCAGUGAUGGCUACCAUUAAAAAGCCAGUUGAGCAUCAUGGUAAAUGUAGUUUGCAAACAUCUGCUGUGCCUUUCUUUCAUAUGAUAGUUUUUCAUUAGCAUUAAAUAGUUUCUGGUUUUAUAAUGGUGCCUAAAUUAAAGUUCUACCUAUUUUACAAUAUCUGGGAGGGCUAGAGUUAUGAUAAUGCCUUGGCUAUUAAAAUCCUAUUGACAGACUAUUAUGAUUCUUAGGGAUAGCUCAUUCAGAUGUGGUUCCAAGUCCAACCUUGGCUCUUGAACAGUUGUUCAACUACAAUGCCAUAUUUCUUCCCCAGUACUUGGCAGGAAAUGAUAUGUAGUGCAAUGCAAUGCAGGAUGAAAGAAGAUAAUUAAAUGACCCUUGAUUUACAAAGUUCCAAUGUAUGUUUGUACUUUAUUAUGGAUUGGGGGGGGGGCAGCGACAACACUAAAUUAUUCCUACUGCAUCCUAUUAUUUUUGGGGGUAUUCUAAAAGAUCUGUAGCAUUUCACACUGAAUUUAUCUUAAUAUCUUUCACCUACAGGGUCUCCAAGCAACAUGCCACUUUUCCUCUUUAAUUCCCACAACAAUCCUCAUAGGUCCCUGCUAGCUAGUGGUAAUCACAGAAUCAUAUAGCAAUUGGUAGUUGAAAUAUAAAAUCCUAGAUUACUCAUUUCUAACUUUAAAGAAUUACCCAGACUAGUCAGCUUGUUGUUAAGCCUAGUUAGAAUAGACAAAGGGGCUUUCUGAACUUUUCCUCUUUCUUAAAGGGACACUAUAGUCUUAAUCUUAAUGUAGUUGUUCUGGGUUUUUUAGCAUGUCCCUGCAGGCUUUUCAAUGUAAACGUUGCAUUUGCUGAGAAACAGUAGGGUUUACAUUGCCGCCAAGUAACAACUAUAGUGACAGUCACUCAGAUCGCCACUAGAGGUGCUUACAGUCCAGUGCUGCACAGUGUGCAGCACUGGUGUUCAGCGUCCCCACGCUGAACAUUCCCCAUAGAUUGAUGAUCUUAGUCAUGGAGGUUGAGCCAGCUGUGGCAAGACAAGCAUUUAGAGAGAUAAAAGGUAUGUAAACUACCUUUAAUCUUCACAGAGAGUGGGACCUAAUUAGAUAUUCCAGCACUAUAGUGUCAGGAAUACAUGUUUGUAUUCCUGACACUAUAGUGUUCCUUUAAGUAAUUUUUCUGCAGGUGUAACUGCAGGCUUUUACGGUCAUCCAACCUUCUAGAACGAGAAGGUAGUACCUAAGGGUCCACAGACACCCAUCCUAGUAAAGGAUUCUCUGGAUUGCUGGGGUGAAGCAAGUCUACAUGGGGUAUGCAAAUUUUAAAUAGUCUAUGUAUUAUUAUUGGUUAUUAUUUAUAUAGCGCCAGCUUAUUCCACAGCACUUUAAAAUAACGUAUCUUAGUAAAAACCUCUAUGUGCUCCAUCUAACCUAAUCCAAUCUUUUUCACCCAAUCUUAGAUGUAGAAACCAUAAUCUACCUCAAUCACAGGCCAUACUGACGCAGGAUUCUCCCCGGAGAGUAACCAAGUCAAAUAUANNNNNNNNNNNNNNNNNNNNNNNNNNNNNNNNNNNNNNNNNNNNNNNNNNNNNNNNNNNNNNNNNNNNNNNNNNNNNNNNNNNNNNNNNNNNNNNNNNNNUGUAAAACCCAAAUCCAAAACCUGAAAGCCCAUCUACGUGCAUGAGAACCACUGUCAGUCUUGUUAAAAUGGAGCAAGAUCAUACUUUGAUAAAACAGUAUGACCUUGAUUGAAUAUUUUUAGAUAUGCUUUUCAAAAAUAUAACUUUUGGUAUAAACUUUUAAAAUAUUUUUUCAAAAUUGUAAAAUAUACAAAAAUAUUUCAUAUGUAAAAAAUAUAAUUACAUUAACAAAUAUAAAAAUAUUUGAAUAGUUUAAAAACUAUAAAAUCAUUUUAAAAUACGCAUGGUGUGUUUACUUUAAAACGUUUUUAUCUCCUGCUCUGUUAAUUGAACUUUAAUCACACACUUGAGGCUCCUGCAAGGACUAGCAGACUAUUCGCAAAGCAGGAGAUAAGAAAUUCUUAAUUAAACAGACGGUGCAGGAAGAUUAUACACUAGAUCUCUCUUUAUAGGAAAUGUGAGGGAGACUGUGUAGGUCACUUGCAGGAAAGGUGUCGAAAUAAAGUGAUUUAUCUACUAUAUCUCAGAGAAUGCAGGCGCAAGAUCUAUACCGCAAAACCACUUCAUUAAGUUAAAGUUGUUUUGGUGCCUAUAGCGUCCCUUUAAAACGUGGACUGUUGGUGACAACUGGGUUAUGACUGGGAGCCAAUUGAUAUUAUCUGGACUGGAGCUCUCAAUAUGAUGAAUUUUCCUAGAAUAACCUAAAAUAUUACCAAAUGAUAUUAGUUUAAUACAUGAACUGUUUCUGUGUUUCCUAAUCUAUUGAGCAUUUUUAUGUUAUGUAUGUGAAUUUCCUUGGCAUCGUAGAACUGGUGAAAAUAAAUACAGUUACAUUUAAAGAAGACAUAUGUGUGUAUACAGACUAGGAAAUGGAAUUUUUUUUAAAUCAAAUCACAUAUUUGUGAUUUAAUCAAAUAUUAAUUUUGUUAUUCAAAACAGAAACAAGAAAACACCUUAAAAAAAAAUUCUAUUAGAUUUACAAAUUCCAUGACACACCUUCCAGUCUUCCCUUCCUGUCUGUCAUGUUACCUUUUGUUGACAAGGCUGUAAGACAGCCUGGUGAUGUCUAUAUAGUUGAGAGGGACCCUUCCCGCAGCCCCUCUCCUCAAAUGGUACAUUAACAUUAACACAGAAAAAAAAUGGAGAUACAUAGGCAAUAUGGUUUCAUUAAAGGGUUAAUACAGCUUGUCUGGGAUUUUCUGCAGGCUUCAAUAAAUAUACUUUAAAUAUAAUAUAAAUAUAAAUAUACCUCAACCAUUUCUCCUGUCAUCUGCUUGUAAGACACAAACAACUCUGACAUCUAACAGACAAUGACAGGUUCGGUAGCCACAUUUCCUAUUCCAUUAGAAGAUGCAGUGUAUUGCAAAACCUAUUGAUAUGUGUGAAAGAUAUUUUGUACUUUUUUUUCUAUUUUUUUUUAAUACCGUACGCUCAAAAUAUAAAUGAAUUCAGAUCCCUUGGACAUAUCGGUUAAGCAGUUAAUCUCACAUUGGGAAAGCUUAUGCCCAAGGUUAAUAGGCAGUGAAUUAUCUCCGAGGAUGAUAGGAUGAGAUUUUGCAAAUGUGACAGCUACAGAAGGCUUUACUAAAUUACAUUUUGCUGAACAGAAAACAUGUCAUUUACAGAAAUGCAUAUGGUUUAUUGGUUGAAAUCUAGACAGUUCACAAUUUAAUAUGCAUGUUGCCACCUGCCCCCUACAAUUACAAUCAGUGUUUGUUGAGGAUUGCCCCACUUUUACAAUUUUGACACGGAACGUCUGUGCAAACAUGUAUCUGAUAUAAUUUGAGGUUCUUGCUGGUAUGUUGAUAGCCCAUAAAUACAUGAUCCAUAUUUUAGGGGAUGUGCAUUUUGGGGGUAAGUGAUUCUUUUAGGUCUUCAGAUUGAAUUAACCUUCUUCAUUUAUUGAAAUUAGAUAAUGGUAUGUUUAUAUGCUAUCUGCAAUCACACAACAUAUUGUAAGCACUAACCUCCAAUCAAGACAUUAUUGAUGAUAAGAUAAUGUGAAUUUAGGACAAAAUCUUGUAGAAAGGGUAGGGGUGUGGAAUGCCUGUCUGCUAAGUGUGCAAGGACAGGCUGAUCCACUGGGAAAAAAUUGGUGCUGGUUGAUGCAGGUAAAAUCUUUUUUUCUUCACUUUUAAAGGAAUUGUUAGUGACAAUGAUGAUGUCGGAGCCAGACGUAGCCAGAUCCUCCACGCAAUGCACAGAGCUUAAGGCCAACAUCAUGAUGUCAUACCUGGUGGCUGAGACUUAGUGCAAGACAAGAAAAAAGAGGAAAGGCUGUAUCACUAGCUCAGUGACGGCCUAGUGUGUUCAUAGGAUAGAAAUUAAAUGAAGUGUAUCUGAGGCAGUGUACCUUUGUUUCUUCCAUAAAAGGACAAGGUUUAAUAAAAUUUUUUAUAGUUUUACUUAAUGUAUGUUAUUUUAUGACUAUUAUCCACAUAUACAGAUAUACACCUGUAUAUUAAUAUAUGUGUAUUAUACAGUAUUAAUAUAUGUGUGUGUGUGUAUGUAUCUAUGUGGCAAGCAUUAUUUUUUAUAUAUAAAUUAUUUAUAAAUAUACACAAAUAUACAUAAAUGCCAUAUAGAGUACUCCUGGAACUUCUUGUAAAUAUUAAAACUUAACUCUAUAUGUGUAAAACGAGGUUCUUCGCACUCCUUACACUAAAUCCUGAAUUGUAGCAAAUUAGAUUCAGAAUAGCAUAAAUUAGUUCAAAAUAUCGGACAUGGAAAAUUUCUACAAAUUCAGUUAUAGUUCUAUAACUUGUGAACUACUACAUUCCUCAAUAUACAAUGUUUAACCAAUAAUAAAUAAAAAAAAAUUUAAAAAUACCUUUUUCAUACAUAUAGAGACAGGGCAUAUGCAAAAUGUAUGACCAAAUGGUGAAGUUAAAGAUUGUAAUGCGCUCUAUUCUACCAGCAGAAUAAAAUUCUACUCUCUGGCUUGUUGGGAUCUGUCUAUGUAACCCUAUGUCUCCAACCCGUGACCUAAUGAAACACCCACUUCAUAGAGAUCUGACUUAACCCCCAAAUGCUUUUGUCCAAUGACAGCAAUAGAAGACACGACAUAAUGCAGUCUUUUACCGCCCAGGGCCAAAGGGUGACCUGGGAAAUCCUGUUAGGGCAGAGUAAUAGGUCUGGAAGGUCUAUACACAGAGAAUGAGAUAUUUAUUAAAACAUAUUAAAAGAAAAAUGUUGGGGUAAAGACUUACCUGCCCCGUGGACCAGCCUACACCUGCUAGGAACUCAAUGUUGCGACUAAUGAAAUUUUGCCAUUAAAUGUUAUGAUGAUUGGAUUAGUUAUUUUUCAUUUCAACAAAACCUUGGGGGAGCCGCCUCACCUGCCUCUAUGGGCCAGCCUUCAUUGUAUAUGACUUCAAAAUAUUAUUUCAUAUCAAGCCAAAAUUAAGAAACCAGUUAUGCCAUUCAAUGUUACACCUGUCUCUAUCCAUCUCUUCAAGGAGAAAAGAUGGAGGCUAGAUUGAAAAAUUAAUAUACAACCAAGCAAUAUUGCUUACCAGACAACAAUAUCUUUCUGAAGGCAAUUCUUUAACUGUCACAAACAUCAUGGAGAUAUAGUUACAUGUUCCCUCAGAGGAAUACAUAUAUUGUUUAAUUCUUCGAAACAAAACUAUUAUCUCAAGCUCCUGUAGGUCAAUCUAGAAGUUACAUGACAUGGAGGUUAUUGACUGAUUUAAAAGUUAUUGGAGAACAUGGAGGUUGAUAUCUCACGAUGAGGUUAAUGACUGGUGUGGGUGUUUUUAAAAAACAUGCAUGUUGCUGGCUCACACAGACACUGUUGAAACUAAUCGUGAGUCCCAAAAGUAAUUUGGUGCUGUUAUGUACAAUUUUUUAUGUUGUGGUAUUUAAGUUUUAUAAAAGAUUGUGUUCUCUUGUAUCAUUUAUAUAUGAGUCUAAUCAAACAGUAUACUAUUGAUUUAAACAUGAAGUGUGGAAUGGACAACAAAACUUUAAAUACUAUUUCCUUAUUGUAUAAAAAUAAAUUGGGUAAAAUAUAACAGAACUCGUCUUAGAAUUGUGCGUAAACUACAAAAUAGUGUUAUUCUGUCAGGUAAUCAUUCUUGGUUGCUUUUUUUCCCCCUGAAUGUUUGAUAUUCCUGUUUUUGGUAUAAUAAGAAAACAUUAGGACUCCAAUCGCAGAGUGAUGACGUGACGUGACGCACGCAUGCACAUUAUGCUUCGCGGGCUUGCUUCCAUGGUCAGCGUUUUACAGGAGGGCGAGGUGUGGCGGAAACCCGGACAGCUAGACUCUGAGUUCCAAAUAUCCUGGCAGGAAGAACGGGAAAUUAAUCUACAGGGACAUCGAAGCGCUUCCCAAGACAAUAAACAAUGAUAUAACACUGAGCGGUGGGGAUGAGAAAACACCCAACGGACUCAGGAGACAGAGUGCAUGCAUAAUCCAAAGCCCAUGAGGACACCGGAAGCAAUUGGAGCAAGGUACACUCAAUUAAAAGUUCCUAUAUACGUCUUCCUAUUCCGAUAUAUCAAUAUGCUAGAGCGAACAUUUAACAAGCUGAAUUCAAUGUGGAUAUAAAUUGCACAGCUGACAAACUGCAAACAGUGAGUCAAGUAUUUGAUACGGUUCCUCACAAUAGGUUAGUCUUCAAACUAAAAGAAAUUGGCCUAGAUGAAUAUUCUUGUUCUUGGGUAGAACAUUGGCUUAAGGAUAGAGUACAACGAGUUGUAAUUAAUGGUAAAUUUUCAGGCUGGACAAAAGUGGUAAGUGGUGUCCCUCAGGGUUCUGUUUUGGGACCACUUCUAUUUAACAUAUUUAUAAAUGAUCUUGAAAUAGGCAUUGAAAGCCAUGUAUCAGUGUUUGCAGAUGACACAAAACUUUGUAAAGUAAUAAAAUGUGAGCAGGAUAUUGCUUUGCUGCAGAGAGAUUUGGAUAGAUUGGGGACUGGGCACUAAAAUGGCAGAUGAAUUUAACAUAGAGAAAUGCAAAGUUAUGCACUUCGGGGUUAAGAAUGCACAAGCAACUUACACACUAAAUGGUAGUGAAUUAGGGAUAACCACACACGAGAAGGAUUUGGGAAUUGUUAUAGACAACAAAUUAGGCAGCAAUAUGCAAUGUCAAUCUGCAGUUGCUAAGGCCAGUAAGAUUUUGUCAUGUAUAAAUAGGGGCAUAAAUUCUCGGGAUGAAAAUAUAAUUUUGCCUCUUUAUAAAUCGCUGGUAAGACCACACCUUGAAUUUGCUGUGCAAUUUUGGGCGCCUGUUCUAAAGAAGGAUAUCAUGGCACUGGAGAGGGUCCAGAGACGAGCUACAAAAUUGAUAAAAAGCAUUUUAGUUAUGAAGAAAGGUUAAAAAAAUUACAUCUGUUUAGUUUGGAAAAAUGGCGCCUGAGAGGGGAUAUGAUAACUUAAUACAAAUAUAUUUGGGGCCAGUACAUACCUUUAUCUGGAAAUCUAUUCAUAAACAGGGCUAUACAUAGGACACACAUUAAGGCUGGAAGAAAGGAGAUUUAAUCGAAGGCAAAGAAAAGGUUUUUUUACAGUAAGAACAAUAAAGAUAUGGAAUUAUCUGCCUGAAGAGGUGGUUUUGUCAGAGUCCAUAAAUACUUACAAAAACAUAACAUACAGGGAUAUAAUUUCUAAUUAGUGGGGUAAUAGCUGCUUGAUCAAAGGAGACAUCUGACUGCUAUUUUGGGGUCAAGAAGGAAUUUUUUCUAGUUUGUGGCAAAAUUGGAGGCGCUUCAGACCAGGUUUUUUUGCCUUCUUUUGGAUCAACAGCAAAAACAUAUGUGAGAAAGGCUGAACUAGAUGGACACAAGUCUCAUUUCAGCUUUGUAACUAUGUAACUAUGUAACUAUUAAAAAAAAGGGAAAGAAAGAAAGAAAAUGUGUAAGAGGGUAAGGAAACCUGAAUUAAUUACACCGGCAGAAAAUUCUAUCUAAACUUGUUACCUCAUAAAGAAAGUACAAAGGAGAGAAAUAUAAAGACAUAAGAAUAUUUACGUUGGUAAAUCCCCUUAAUAUUGAUAUAAUUAUAGGAGAAGAAAAGAAAGCGAAAAAAAAGAGGGGAAACCUAAUAAGAUGAUAACCCACCCUGAAGUUAAAAAAAAAAGGGGAAAAGAAGAGGAAGCGAAGAGGGAAAAACAGGAUUGAAUUUGGAACCAGAGAACCACAGAUAAAUCCAAGAUUGUAUGUUAUAUUGCAUUCUGACAGCCACAGGGCUAUUUGGAUAUAGAAAUAACUUAAAGGGACACUCCAGGCACCCAGACCACUUCUGCCCAUUGGAGUGGUCUGGGUGCCAACUCCCACUACCCUUAACCCUGCAAGUGUAAUUAUUGCAGUUUUUUUUUAUCUAUCAGACAGCCACUAGAGGGACUAAUGUGUUCUUAGAACACGAAAAGUGUUUUAAGCAACGCUGGACGUCCUCACGCAAUGUGACGAACUUCAGCAUCGUCAAAAUCCCCAUAGGAAAGCAUUGAAUAAUGCUUUACUAUGGGGAGGUCUAAUGCGCAUGCACGGCCAUUGCAGUGCAUGAACAUUAGGUGUCCCCCGCUUGCUGACGUUGGCGGGGGAGGAGAGUAGGCGAAGCCUGACCAGCGCCGAGGGACAUCGGCGCUGGACUCUAGUAAGUCACUGAAGGGGAAUGCCUUCGGCAAGUUGGGAUGGGGGGGUGAGAGGGGCACUACAGGAUCCUGCAGUGCCAGGAAAACUAAUAUGUAAUAUGUUUUCCUGGCACUGGAGAAUCCCUUUAAUAGUAUUGAAACAACUGGAAUAGGAAGAAGAGGAAGGCAGUGGCUGAGUGACAGGCAACAGAGGGUUGUAGUUAAUGGAAUAUAUUCGAAUCUUGGGCUUGUCACCAGUGGGGUACCUCAGGGAUCUGUACUUGGACCCAUUCUCUUUAAUAUUUUUAUUAGUGAUAUUGCAGAAGGUCUUGAUGGUAAGGUAUGUCUUUUUGCUGAUGAUACUAAGAUAUGUAACAGGGUUGAUGUUCCAGGAGGGAUAAGCUAAAUGGCAAAUGAUUUAGGUAAACUAGAAAAAUGGUCAGAAUUGUGGCAACUGACAUUUAAUGUGGAUAAGUGCAAGAUAAUGCAUCUUGGACGUAAAAACCCAAGGGCAGAGUACAGAAUAUUUGAUAGAGUUCUAACCUCAACAUAUGAGGAAAGGGAUUUAGGGGUGAUUAUUUCUGAUGACUUAAAGGUAGGCAGACAAUGUAAUAGAGCAGCAGGAAAUGCUAGCAGAAUGCUUGGUUGUAUAGGGAGAGGUAUUAGCAGUAGAAAGAGGGAAGUGCUCAUGCCAUUGUACAGAACACUGGUGAGACCUCACUUGGAGUAUUGUACACAGUACUGGAGACCGUAUCUUCAGAAGGAUAUUGAUACCUUAGAGAGGGUUCAGAGAAGGGCUACUAAACUGGUUCAUGGAUUGCGGGAUAAAACUUACCAGGAAAGGUUAAAGGAUCCUAACAUGUAUAGCUUGGAGGAAAGACGAGACAGGGGGGAUAUGAUAGAAACAUUUAAAUACAUAAAGGGAAUCAACACAGUAAAGCAGCCCCGGACUGGCCAUCGGGCACACCGGGCAAAUGCCCGGUGGGCCGUGGUGGCCAUGGGCCGGGGCUGGCAGGGGAGGUCCCAGGAUCUCCCUUCCGGUCUAUGCAGGGCCGGCGCUAUCCGAGCGCCGGCCCUGCUGUUUUCCAUGGAGGGCCGGUGGGGAGAUCAAAGCUCUCCCUCACCGGCCCACAUGCUGUCAGAUCUGGUCCCCGGUGGGUAGAGAGGGAGGGAGCCAGCCAGCCAGGAGAGGAGGACCCGGUGGAGCCAUGGCAACGCGCCGGAUCUUGCGAGAGUGAACUCUAGCCCCACAGGCUAGAGUUCACUCACCCACGAGGACCACCACGGAACACUGCCUCCCAGUCCCAGCGUGCCGGUCCCCCCCCUCCCAGGCUAAAGGUAUGAAGGGAGGGGGGAUUUAAUGCCUUUUUUGUUGUUGUUUGCCCCCCCUACACACACACAAUCCAUUCUAACAUUUAUACAGCACUCUCACACCCAUCACACACAGCACUCUCACACACAGCACUCUCACACAGCACUCUCUCACACAGCACUCUCUCACAGCACUCUCACACACACAGCCCUCUCUCACAGCACUCUCACACACAGCACUCUCACAGCACUCUCACACACACAGCACUCUCACACACACAGCACUCUCACACACACAGCACUCUCACACCCAUCACACACAGCACUCUCACACAGCACUCUCUCACCCAUCACUUUCUCACCCAUCACUCUCACACACAGCACACACAGCACUCUUGCACACACGGCACUCUCACACACAUGGCACUCUCACACACACCGCACUCUCACACACACAUACUGCACCCCUCACAUACACACAGAACCCCCCAACACACUGCACCACACACAUACACAAUACUUCCAAAUAUAUAUAUAUACACACACACUACACUCUUAACAUACACACUAUGGAUCCCCUAUACACACACUAGAUUCCUUGUAAGCAAACACAUACUACACCCGUAAAUACACACUACAUCACCUAUAUACACACACACACACUAUAGCCUGUAUGCACACACUUGCUAUAUCCCCAAUACACACAUUCUCUACAGCCCAUAGCCACAUAUGCAUCACAUUACACCACUUUACACCACAAACACAACAUGACUAAAACCAACCUUAUUACACAAUACCACACCACAAUCAGCUCACUCUACACACACGCAAUACCACAAGCAGGCUCCAAACACAUGCACAAUACUCUUUCCUGGCAUUUUUGUCUCCUGGUAUCCAUUUAUAGAGACACCAGAGACAAGUUGCAAGGAAACACAGUACAAACAUGUUUUUAAAUUUGCUUGCAAUGUGCAGAACAAAUACAGAGCUUUUUUCUCAUGCUAGAGCUCUUCAGCAGAGCUCUGCGCAUGGUCUGCCCUGGGAGAGCAUUGAUCCAACAUGCUCACUUUGAGAGAGGGCGUGUUUGUCAUUGGUGAUGACAAAACACACCUCCUCUGCCCUGCCCCCUUCUUAGUGGGCUGCUGUGUUAAAAAAAUGCCCGGGCCGAAUUUUUCUCCCAGUCCGGCCCUGCAGUAAAGGACGAGACUACAAUUAAAAGAAGAAAAACUACCACAACAAGAGGACAUAGUCUUAAAUUAGAGGGACAAAGGUUUAAAAAUAAUAUCAGGAAGUGUUACUUUACUGAGAGGGUAGUGGAUGCAUGGAAUAGCCUUCCAUCUGAAGUGGUAGAGGUUAAAACAGUAAAUGAGUUUAAGCAUGCAUGGGAUAGACAUAAGGCUAUCCUAACUAUAAGAUAAGGCCAGGGACUAAUGAAAGUAUUUAGAAAAUUGGCCAGACUGGAUGGGCCGAAUGGUUCUUAUCUGCCGUCACAUUCUAUGUUUCUAAGAAAAACAUAACAGACAACAUAAAGGAGAAGAAGGUUAAAAGAAAAGUGUUUUUUUUUUGUUUUUUUUUUAUUGGGAGUUUAUUUAAAUUAUAAUGGCAUCUAAAAAAAAUUAGACUAAGAACCCUGCAAAAAAAGAUAAAAAUAAUAAUGCGAAAGAAGAAAAAAGACUAUCAUCUUUUUUUUCACUUCAGCUAGAUAAGAAGGAUAAAUCAAGUAAGGCCCAAGAAAGACAAAUUAGCAUUCCAACAGAACUAUCCCAAGAAGAACUGGAAUAUUGAUGCGUCUAAUAGCGUGCUUCCAUUCCUUUCAAUUUAGAGAUCGAAUAAUGAAGUCAAAUAACGUCCAGGAUAAAAAAAAGGUACAAUAUAUGAGAAAAUCCAGCUGUUUCCAGAUUUAUCUAACUAUACAAGGUCUCAGAGAAAAACAUAUGCUCCAAUGACGGCUAUAUUAAGAAGUAAAAACUGUAAAUAUAUGUGGCUAUACCCAGUGGGUUUUGCAAUGAUAAUAGAUGGAAAAAGAAUAUCAGUAACAAAUAUAGAAUAUUUGAAGAAAUUGAUGAUCGUAUAGAAAAUACUGGAGAAGACAAACAUGGACUUUAAAUUUUUUUAAAUUUUUUUAUUUAUUAUUCCUCUCUCUCCGCCUUCUUCCAUUUAAGGUUUAAGUAUAUAAAAUAGAUGUGAUAAUAUAUAAUAAAUAAAUUUGAUACACAAUGAUAGGAAUAAGAGAGAACCCACAGACACUAGUAUUAAAUUACAACCACUAAACAAAUUUUGAUACACGUGAUAUGAAAGAUAAUUUUGGGAAUAAGGGUAUUUAUAGACACAAGUAUUUAAAUAUAAUUAUUUGUUAUACGGUGAUAUAUACGAGAUGUUUGAUAAACUGUACAAUGACAAAAGGGGUAAGAUCACAUUGAGGGUUAAAAUAUGUUACUGAGUAAGAUACAUAUUACCAAACUAAUUGUCAAAAUAAGAGAUUAGAUUAUUAGGAUAAUUUAUGACAUCAGUAAUGCACAACAUAAGAAUGUAAGAGAGUACAAUGUCUAAGAUGAAAUUGAUUAAAUGAGGAUGUCCAGAUAGGAUAUAUAGGUAGUAGACGGAGAGAGAGAGAGAGAGAGAGAGAGAGAGAGAAUGGAUGACAAAAGAUAAAGUAGGUUCAAAUAGACAAAUCAUUUUUAUUUUCUUUUUCUCUUUUUUUUAAUUUUUUCCUAUGUCUCUUUUUAUGUGGAGAUAUAAAUUAAGAAAGCACUUUGAAUUAUAAAUGUAUGCAAUUUGCGCUAGACCAUGGAUAGGACGAUUCCGCAUAGCGGACCAAUCUGAUUCAGAGCCUGGAUGGAUGGGAAGGGAUUUUGCUUCUCUCCAUCUGCCCACACACUGGACUCUACUCCCCAAGGAGAAUGGGGAGGGGAUUUUUUUUAGGGGAUUUUUCUAUUAGGUUUACUUUUUUAGUUUUGUGCAUAUAUGGGGAGGGAGGGAUUGCUGUUGCUGUUAAUAUGGGACUUGCCAUAUGCUCAAAGGAGAAAAUAAUUAACCAGAUUUUAAUAUUAAAAUAGUUACAAUAAAUGCGCGUGGCAUCAACUCAAAAAAAUAGGUAUUUUGUUUCUGAUAAAUUAACAAAUUCAUAUAUGUGCAAUACAAGAAACUCAUUGGAAGGAAGGAAAUGUAAUGAGAAUUAGGCAAAAUCAGUAUCCGCAUGUAUAUACUUCAUCAUUAACAGAUUAACAGAAAAAGAGGGAAGUUGCUAUUAUGUUCUCAAAUAAAAUCUCAAUAAAAGUAUUACAUCAGGACAGUGAUAUUCAAGGCAGAUAUUUGAUAUUUGUAUGCGAGAUAAAGAACAAAAUAUAUACGAUUGCCAGUGUCUAUGCUCCUAACUAGUGAUGUCCCGAACGGUUCGCGAACGGUUCGCCACGAACGGUUCGCGAACGGUUCGCGAACGGUUCGCCACGAACGGUUCGCCACGGACUCAUCAUUGACGUUCGCGAACCGUUCGUGGCGAACCGUUCGCGAACCUCACAGUCAGCAGACACAUUCCAGCCAAUCAGCAGCAGACCCUCCCUCCCAGACCCUCCCACCUCCUGGACAGCUCACUAAGAAUGCAGCUUCACAAUGAAUGUAAAAUGGAUGCUGUCCAGGAGGUGGGAGGGUCUGGCAGGGAGGGUCUGCUGCUGAUUGGCUGGAAUGUGUCUGCUGACUGUGAGGUACAGGGUCAAAGUUUACUCAAUGAUGAGUCCGCGGCGAACCGUUUGUGGUGAACCAUUCGGGACAUCACUACUCCUAACCACUCUCCUAUUAAGUUUAUAAACAAAGUCUUAAAUAGAGUAGAAAGGAUCAAACAAAAGGAAAUCUUACUAACGGGGGAUUUAAACUGUGUUAUGGAGCCAACAAUUGAAAGACGAUGUAAUGGAGGGAAUAUUAAUAAUAGAAAUAUAGGGAAUAAUGCUAGAAGAAUGAGAGAAUUAGUUAAAAGAUCUGACUUGUUGGACGUAUGGAGAAUAUUUAAUCCAAAUGUAAAAGAUUAUACUUGCUUUUCUAAAUCAUUCAUUACCUACUCUAGAAUUGAUUUUAUAUUUUCUAAAAUAGGUCAAACGAUAAAUGUAAUUUUUUUUUUUAAAUUAUAUCGGUCCCUUGGUCAGAUCAUAGUGCCAUCUUAUUACAAAUCAAUGAUAAAUUUGAUUAAAAAAACAUAGUUAUUGGAGGUGAAACAACUAUAUUUUAAAUAAACCCCAACGUGUUGAAUACUUGAAGCAAACAACUGAUUUAUUUUUUAAGGAGAAUAAUAAUGAUGAAGUGCCUCUACCUAUAGUAUGGUGUGCAUAUAAAAGUACCAAUCGGAGUCACUUAAUUAAGAUCGGGGCAUACGGGAAAAAAAUAAAAAAACGUUCUCCAGGAUUAGCAGAAUUAUAUAUAAAGCUGGAUAAUCUAUCCUCACAAAAUAAAUUACUCCUUCUAGAGAAAACACGAAAAGAAUAAUAGUAGAAGUAGAAAAGGCAAUUAAUGAUGCACUGAUUAAUAAAGCAAAUGAGAUGCUGUAUUUCAUUAAAAGAAAAUGGUAUUAUAAGGGCAACAGACCAGAUAUGCUUCCAGAAAAAAUAGGACAGGUAUUUGAGGAAUAUUACAAAACUGUACAAUCUUCCAACAACAUCUACUAUAAAUGUAAUAAAUGUAAAUAUAAUUUACCACAAAUUUCUCAAGAGCAAUUGAGUUCAUUAAAUACACCUCAGGAUUGAGGAGAUUGAUAAAGUAAUAGGAAACCUACAAAGAAAUCAAUCACCUGGUCCUGACGGAUUUUCGAAUACAUUUUAUGAAAUAUUAAAGGACUUUUUAAAAGUACUUCUUAAAGUCUUUACCGGUUUUUGUAAAAAAAAAAAAACACCCAAUUCCAAUGGAAAUGUUGCAAUCUGAUAUAGUUCAUAUUUAAAAAAAAGAAAAAAAAAUAAUCUAGAAGUUUGAAAUUAUAGGCCAAUAGCGUUACAAAACAUUGAUAUCAAACUAUAUUCUGCCAUUUUGGCGGCCAGGCUAAAUACAAUUAUUAAUCACAUUAUACACACAGAUCAAGUGGGGUUUAUACAAGGUAAAUAUGUGGAUGUAUUUAAGUGUAUUAUUGUGUGUGUGUGUGUGUGUGUGUGUGUGUGAACAGUGUGGAUAGCAGUAUGUAUGCAGUGUGAGCAUCAAUGUGAGUAGGAGUAAGUGUGUGUGUGUGUGUGUGAACAGUGUGGAUAGCAGUAUGUAUGCAGUGUGAGCAUCAAUGUGAGUAGGAGUAAAUGUGUGUGUGUGUGAACAGUGUGGAUAGCAGUAUGUAUGCAGUGUGAGCAUCAAUGUGAGUAGGAGUAAGUGUGUGUGUGUGUGUGUGAACAGUGUGGAUAGCAGUAUGUAUGCAGUGUGAGCAUCAAUGUGAGUAGGAGUAAGUGUGUGUGUGUGUGUGUGAACAGUGUGGAUAGCAGUAUGUAUGCAGUGUGAGCAUCAAUGUGAGUAGGAGUAAGUGUGUGUGUGUGUGUGUGAACAGUGUGGAUAGCAGUAUGUAUGCAGUGUGAGCAUCAAUGUGAGUAGGAGUAAAUGUGUGUGUGUGUGAACAGUGUGGAUAGCAGUAUGUAUGCAGUGUGAGCAUCAAUGUGAGUAGGAGUAAGUGUGUGUGUGUGUGUGUGAACAGUGUGGAUAGCAGUAUGUAUGCAGUGUGAGCAUCAAUGUGAGUAGGAGUAAGUGUGUGUGUGUGUGUGUGAACAGUGUGGAUAGCAGUAUGUAUGCAGUGUGAGCAUCAAUGUGAGUAGGAGUAAGUGUGUGUGUGUGUGUGUGAACAGUGUGGAUAGCAGUAUGUAUGCAGUGUGAGCAUCAAUGUGAGUAGGAGUAAAUGUGUGUGUGUGUGAACAGUGUGGAUAGCAGUAUGUAUGCAGUGUGAGCAUCAAUGUGAGUAGGAGUAAGUGUGUGUGUGUGUGUGUGAACAGUGUGGAUAGCAGUAUGUAUGCAGUGUGAGCAUCAAUGUGAGUAGGAGUAAGUGUGUGUGUGUGUGUGUGAACAGUGUGGAUAGCAGUAUGUAUGCAGUGUGAGCAUCAAUGUGAGUAGGAGUAAGUGUGUGUGUGUGUGUGUAAGUGUGGGGAACGAUGUGUGUGUACAGUUUGCAGAGCAGUAUGUGUAGCAUUUGUGUGUAGCUGCCAUUUCUGAGUUGCUCAUCCUGACGCCAAUCCUCCGCUCCCUGCAGGAGAUGUGAGUUUAGUCUGAGGGGGCGGAGUCAUGCCAUAUCUUUUAACAAUUGUAACAGGGUAAACUGCAUGUGGUAGGUGGGACCAUGAGAGGGAAUCGCCAGUUACGUGACCUGCAUCAUUAACGAUACCCAUGGGAAAAGAGGCGGACCUACCGGCAGGUUGGCUCCCCCGGUACAGCACGAGCACGUUAACCCCUUAAGGACACAACUUCUGAAAUAAAAGGGAAUCAUGACGGAAUACUUUGUUCGUGUGUCCAUAAGGGGUUAAAGGACGCACUCAAAUUGCGCUAACUGGUGACAUUUCCCUAGUGUCUCCAAAUUUUGGUUAAAGUAGGAUAGCAGGGCAGGACAGGACCUCGAAUGGGAAUGUUGGAUGGGCUGCAAUGCACAUAUCAAAUUUUCACAGACUGAGUCCUGCAGCCUUUAUUACUGUCAGCAAGCAGCAGACAUUGGGCAGGAGGUGGGAGGGGGCAGCUUUUAACAAGCAGAGUACCCGAAAUCAUGAGGCACACAGCUAUAAGCAGAAGCCUACUCCUCCUAAUGUGAAAUUCAGCCCUGGUUGUACUCUAUGUAAUGGCAUAACAAACACUAUGGAGAUUGCUAAAAGACUCAAUGUCGCAGAAAGCAGUUUUUCUAUGAAUGGACACAAUACAGGUCAACAUAAAUAAAUAGAAAUGACUAUAAAAUUAUAUUAAUAGCACAGCAGUAGCUUGUUAUUUUAUGUUCAAAUGUACAUGUGUUUAAGGGAACCCUUGUGAAUUAAUUCCCCCCAGGGUCCCAUCUGUUCUUAGCCUGCUCCUGCCAAAACGAUUUCCCAAUUAAUAUUCACAUUUAGGGAUGAGUGAAUGGGUUAUGGUACAUCUCCAGAUUCUCUAUCUGUGAAAUUAUAUAUUAAAUUCACAUUUAUUAAUAUUUCCAGAGUUUUUGCAUCUUAAGUGUUUAAUUCUGAAAACUGAGCAUAUUUCCCACAUCAUGAUCAAAUGAUUUUAUUUCUUGAUGUGCUUGACAGCAAUGAGUACAACGUCUGAACAAUUCAUGUUACUUUGUCAAUGAUACAUACCCUUUUUUCCCUAUUGGCUAUCACAUAUGUUUUAUGGUUAUAUUAAACACGGUGCAGCAAUAAAUAAGAAUUCAAAAAAUUGUGUGCAUUCAGUGGCUCCUGCAAUAUUAAAGGAAGACUGAGAUAAAUUCAGCAUCCCCAUGUAGAGCGUGGAGUCGCUGAACGGCAGUGCUGCCUACUGUGCAUCACUGAGCCAGGAAGCACCUCCAGUGGCCAUCUGAGGAGUAGCCACUUGGAGGUGUCCCUAGGGCAAUGUAAACACUGCCUUUUCUCUGAAAAGGCAGUGUUUGCAUGAAAAUGCCUGAAGGCAAUGAUUAUACUCACCAGAACAACUACAUUAAGCUGUAGUUGUUGUAGUGACUAUAGUGUCCCUUUAAAACGAGAUAUCUCUCAGAUGGUGUGAACUUUUAACAAAUUACUCUGUGUUGUACAUUACAAAUGAUAGUCUUUACCACUUGAACAAGGCUACCAGGUUACACCUGUUGCCAAAAUACCCCAACUCAGUGCAUACCACCCAUGUGUUCUUAUUUUGGAGGUGCAUUCCCUAUUUUGGGCCCAAAUUCCUCUGCCCCUUUUUUCUAGGAGCUCCAUAUUGUUGGUGUGUCUGAGUGUAUAACAGAGCUCCACAGUAAUAGUACUCACAGUGAUGUGUCUUUAAAUGUCAAUAAAUGUGUUUAGAAAUAGAUCUGUGUUAAUGACAUUGUUCUAAAUUUAAAGUAUCCUUCUUUGUCCAUUUGAUAUGUUGGAAAAUAUGCAGUUCUUAUUUUUUCGAGUUUGACUUUCAUUCAGUAACUGUUACUAAGAGGAUCCAGGCACUCCAAGUAUCUUCUAUUUUAUUUAUUUGGAUAAGUGAGACAACGCAAUGUUUCGAACCCCUAAAAAGGUAUUUUUCCCUCUCUUUUUGUCAUUCAGUAAGGACAGAACUGAUAAUGUUCAAAACUGCAGACUGCCUCCAGUUAUAGUAGCCAGUGAUAAAAAGGUAGCAUACCCCAACAUUUCAAAAGGACAGAGGGAAACGUUCAUUUUAGGGGUUUGAGGUGGAGUGAGGGGUUUCUAGGGACAGGACUGUUCAGAGAAAUUUUAGGUGACUUACUAACUACAAUUUAUGCAACUGAAAUGUAAUUUAGAACAAUGUAUCCUAUUUACAAGAAAUAAUUACUAAACAUAUUUAUUGUAGUUUGUAGACACUGGGAGUAUGAUAUGGAACUUCUGGAAAAGAGAGACAUUAGGAUAGAAAAGACAGAUUGUCCCUUGGUUGGCAUGAUAGCAACUCAGACUAAUUUACUCACUCAUCCACAGCAGGCUAAUCUAAUGCAUCUACAAAAUUGCUCAAUUCUCACUGGCGUGGCCUAGCUUAAAGGGACACAAUAGUCACCUGAACAACUUUAGCUUAACGAAGCAGUUUUGGUAUAUAGAACAUGCCCCUGCAGCCUCACGUCUCAAUCCUCUGCCAUUUAGGAGUUAAAUCCCUUUGUUUAUGAACCCUAGUAACACCUCCCUGCACAGCCUUCCAUAAACAGACUUGCACAGCCUUCCAUAAACACUUCCUGUAAAGACAGCCCUAUUUAGGCUUUCUUUAUUGCAAGUUCUGUUUAAUUAAGAUUUUCUUAUCCCCUGCUAUGUUAAUAGCUUGCUAGACCCUGCAAGAGCCCCCUGUAUGUGAUUAAAGUUAAAUUUAGAGAUUGAGAUACAAUUAUUUAAGGUAAAUUACAUCUGUUUGAAAGUGAAACCAGUUUUUUUUUUCAUGCAGGCUCUGUCAAUCAUAGCCAGGGGAGGUGUGGCUAGGGCUGCAUAAACAGAAACAAAGUGAUUUAACCUAUUAACCCCUUAAGGACGGAGCCAAAUGUGCACUUUGUGAACGAAACAAAAUGUAAACAAAACCUGGCAUUUGCGCUACAUGUCUGUCCAACCGUAAUUCACCUCUUUCAUAUUAAAUGCACCCACCCUUAUUAUAUAUCAUUUUAUUCAGGGGAAACAGGGCUUUCAUUUAAUAUCAAAUAUUUAGCUGUGAAACAUAAUUUGAUAUGAAAAAAAUUGGAGAAAAUAAGAUUGUUUUGAUUUUUUUAGUUCUACAUGACAUUUUAACUGUCAAUGUCAUAAUACUGUUUGCUUUUACUGCAAUAAAAUACACAUAUUUGUAUUCAGCAAAGUCUCACGUGUAAAACAGUACCCCCUAUGUACAGGUUUUAUGGCGUUUUGGGAAGUUACAGAGUCAAAUAUAGCACGUUACAUUUGAAAUUGAAAUUCGCCAGAUUGGUUACGUUGCCUUUGAGACUUUAUAGUAGUCCAGGAAUGACAUUUACACCCAUAAUGGCAUACCAUUUGCAAUAGUAGACAACCCAAUGUAUUGCAAAUGGGGUAUGUCCAAUCUUUUUUAGUAGCCAUUUGGUCACAAACACUGGCCAAAGCUAGCGUUAGUAUUUGUUUGUGUGAAAAAUGCAAAAAACGCCAAUUUUGGCCAGUGUUUGUGACAAAGUUGCUACUAAAAAAGACUGGACAUACCCCGUUUGCAAUACCUUGGGUUGUCUACUAUUGCAAAUGGUAUGCCAUCAUAGGGGUAAUUUUCAUUCUUGGGCUACCAUAGGGUCUCAAAGGCAACGUAACCAAUCUGGCGAAUUUUAAUGUGAAAAAAUGAAACGCAAGCCUUAUAUUUGGCGCUGUAACUUUUGAAAACACCAUAAAACCUGUACAUGAGGGGUACUGUUGUACUCGGAAGACUUCGCUGAACACAAAUAUUUGUGUUUCAAAACAGUAAAAAGUAUCACAGCAAUAAUAUCGUCCGUGUAAGUGCUGUUUGUGCAUGAAAAAUGCAAAAAACUGCACUUUUACUGGCGAUAUCAUCGUUGUAAUACAUUUUAAUGUUUUGAAACACUAAUAUUUGUGUUCAGCGAAGUCUCCCGAGUAGAACAGUACCCCACAUGUACAGGUUUUAUGGUGUCUUGGAAAGUUAUAGGGUUAAAUAUAGUGCUAGCAAAUUAAAUUCCCUUUACUCUCGGCAUGGGUUGUCAGGCAGGUCCCGCUAAUUGUAAUUAAUUAAGAUACCUAAUUAUGUAAAAAUAUUACAUAAAUAUAAAUGUAGAAUUAAUAUAUGUAUAUAUUUAUAUGAAUGUGAAUCUAUAUGUGUAUAUAUAUAUAUAUAUAUAAUUUUUUUUAAAUAUUUUUAUUUAUAUAUAGGUAUAUAUAUAGUGAUAUAUACGUAUAUAUUUAUGUAUGUAGAUAUAUAUAUUAUUUUGUUCUACGUGUAUUUUGAUAUAUAUAUAUUAAUAUCACAAUACAGUUACAACGAAAUAACACACAUCUAUACAUUUUUUUUUAUUAUUUUAUUUUUUUAUUUUUUAACGUAUUUACAUAUUAAAUUUUUUUUAUAUUAUAUAUAAAUAUAUAUAUAACAAUAUUUAUAUAUAUAUUUAAUCAGUAUCAGUCUACGUGUAAUUUGAUAUUAAUAUAUAUAUAAUUAUAUAUAUAUUAAUAGUAAAAUACACCUAGACGGUGUACGUGUGUGUAUGUAUAUGUGUAUAUAUAUACUUAGAUCAUAUAUAUAUAAUAUAUAAUAUAUAAUAUAUAAUAUAUAUAUGAUCUAAGUAUAUAUAUAUAUAUAUAUAUAUUUUUUUUUUUACACUUAAUUAAUUUUAUUUUAUUUCAUUUCCAGCCAGUAGGGGGACCACCUGUCAUUACAGGCAGCCCCCCUGCUGGCAAUACUGAAGCCAGCUAUACUGGCCAUGUGAUUGUGGGGUCCUCGCAAGGACCUCACUCUCACAUUGCCGGGGGGGCUUCCAGGGGGUCGGACGUGCCACGGGGGGCUCCCUGGGAGUCCCCCCCACCGCGGUCGCCGGCGUGGGACCGCCGGCGACCGGGUAAGUAAUGAAAGACCGGAGGGCGUACAAUUACGCCCGGUGGCGUUUAGAGACGCCUAAAAUAGGGUGUAAUGUACGCCCUCCGGUCUUAAGGGGUUAACUCCUAAAUGACAAUGAAUUGAGCAGUGAAAUUGCAGGGGAAUGAUCUAUACACUAAAACUGCUUUAUUUAGCUAAAGUAAUUUAGGUGACUUUAGUGUUCCUUUAAUGUACCUUAUAUUCACAGAAUAACUUCAUUCUUUCAUAAACUUCACCCUGUACAGCACACAUCAGCUUUAAUCAAAUAAAGUACAAUACAAAUAUCUUUUUAAAACAAAAUCUUUAUCCUCAAAAUAUUACUAAUGAAUAAUUCUAAUCUAUAGUUUUUACCAUUUGAAAAAUGACUACAGGAUUCUAAUUAAUGACCUUCUGAAAAACAGAAAAAAAAAAAAAAAAAAACCUAAUGUAAAACUUUUGAACACUGCUCCUAUAAAAUACAGAUUUGCUGGUAACAUAUCUUAAAAAUAAUAUUACACUAUAGGACUGUUAAAAAAAAUUAUAAUUUAUUUUUUUCUAUUACAAUCUAAUGAAUAUACUCCCCAAUUAUAAGGCAAGACAGGAGGCUUCAUAUUUGCUUAACCUUCUCUACUGAAAACCUCCAGCAGCAAAGAACCAGUUAACAUUAGACAUGUGCAAUUCGUUUCGGUCCGAAUGAAAAUUCGACUGAAUUUCGGGCAAUUCUGAAUUGCCGAAUUGUCGAAGUGCCGAAAUUACCGAAUUUCCGAAGUGUAGUAGUGCCGAAGUUGCCAAAGUUCCGAGGUGUCAAAGUGCCGAAGUUCCGAAGCACAGUAUUGCCUAAGUACUAAUAUACUUACCCAGUGAAAGAAGAAGAAUGUUACAUUGUAUACAAUUUUAAAUAAAAAGUAUAUAAACAUAGCCAGGAUUCAGCAGUAAGCAUUUGCAACACUUACAACAAUCAAGUAACACACAUUCAUAUAAAAUGUAAGUUACUUGGCCAGUCAAUGUAAUGACAGGAAUGUAUAAGUAGAUAACGCCCUAAUUCCCACGGUAUUAGGGAGCUAUCUACUAAAAGGCUGAAAGACCUGAAUUGGUCUUUCAGCCAAAUUUACUAAUACUAAGUAAAGAUUACUUAGUAUUAGUAAAUUAUGCCCCUACUCGCUAUAUCGCGAGUAGGGGCAUGUCUAUUAAACAGUGAGCAGCCUGUGGCUAACUCUCUGAUUGGUUUCCGGGGUUCCUGGGAUGUGUCGGGCCUAUCGACAACAGCAAGAGAGUUACUCUGGGACUCUUGGGCACCUGGCACCAGACGAUCAUAUUUGCAUGCCUGGCGAUCCUGGCAUCGCUGGUGUCUGGAGAGACGUUUGGAUCCCUUUACGACCCCUAUCAUGGCCGUACUGAACUUCCUGGCUGAAUUAUUUUCUCAGGGUAAGUCAUAUAGGACUAAUAAUGUGUUCAGAUCGGCUAUUUCAGUGGCUCAUGUGCCUUCUCAAAGUUCUGGCGUUGGUAAGGAUCCACAGUCUGCUGACUAUUACGAGGCUGCCUACUUCUCGCUAUUCCUAAUUUUGGGAUGUUUCGCUUGUCUUGCGCUUCCUUGAGGAGUGGCCUUAUAAUGGGGAAUUAUCUCUACACCAACUCUCUGCUAAGCUGACUCUACUGUUAUGCCUUGUGUCUUUUCAACGCAUUUCUGAUGUUCAUGCUUUUGAUGUGGAAUCUUUCUCCUUUUCACCAGAGGGUGUGUCUGUUUCUAUUUCACGCAGAACGAAAUCUAAUUUGUCUUCUGUGUCCUUUCCCUAUUUUCCGGAUAGACCUUGUCUUUGUGUAGCAUGUUGCCUACGGACGUAUCUCUCCGUGACUUCGUCAUUUUGACCUUCUGCCCAUGGACAGCUAUUGAUUUUGUACAUUCGACCAUUUAAGGCUGUUUCUGCACCUAUGAUCGCUUGUUGGAUUCGAUGGCUUCUUUCAUCGGCUGGUGUGGCGAGUUCCUUUGGGUCACAUUCGGUUCAGGACACAGCAGCUUCAGCAGCUCUAGAAGAUGGUGGGUCCCUUACGGAUAUUCUCGGUGCCGCUGAUUGGUCUAGUGCAGGGGUAGCCAAUCUUUUAGUAGUAUAGUGCCAAAACAAGAUAUUGAAGUCCUUUGGCGUGCCGGAUGCCAAUUUUUAAAUGGAAGUGUGUAUGUUCUGCUUGUGUUAUUUAUGUGUGCUGCAGUUGCUUUGCAGAGUUAUAUUUGUGUGUAUGUUGGCUGUUAUAUCGUAUAUGUUCAUGAGUAGUUUGUGGUAUUGUGUAUGAUACCAAUGAAUAUGGGUUGUGUAUGGGGACUGCUUGUGGAAUUGUUUGUGUGGAUGAUAUGUCACAUUGAGUGUUUGGUGGUUUGUGUAAGCGUGCAUGUAUCUGGAAUGUCAGUGUCAUUAUCGUUGUGUUUGUGGGGACUGUAUGUGUGUUCAUGUGUAGGCUUUUUGUAGUUUUUGUAUGAGGGGGAGGCUUCUUCUGCAGCUCUGUGUAUAUCUAUCUGCAUGGGUGGCUUCUCUGGAGUCCAUUAGGGACUGGGUUGGCCAGGUACAGGUCGAGGGCAGGAACUGUAAUUUCAGCUGCAGGCAGUGUGGAUUCCCAUUCACAAGUGCUUGGAGGAAGUCAUUUGAGAUCACUUCCUCGUAGUGCUGCAAUGUGUAGAUUGAGAAUUUUCUCCUAGCAGAUAGAUAUCUGAAGGACCACUGGAACUCCUGAUAGGCAGGAGCCUGUUUGGCUCUGAAAGCUUUGAGUGCCAUAGGUUGCUGACCCCUGGUCUAGGGAAUCGACUUUCCGUACUUUUUAUUUCAGUCUGCAAUCUCAUGUUUCUGCAAAUAUGAAGCCUCCUGUCUUGCAUUCAAAUUAGGAAUUAUUUUAGCCUCGGUGAAGGAAUAAUCUAAAUUUUAUUAAAGACAUGAGGUGAAUGUUUCCCCCCUUGUUGUUUCCCUCCCUGAAACUGGGUUUUUGCUGUUGUGUUCAUUGGGGGUAUUGUUGUAUUCUUUUUGAUGAAAUGUCCUGCAGAGUGACUCUAGAUAGGUAGGGCACGGGGGGAACACUAAAGAGAGAGGAUAAAACUGAACUUUUAAUAGUAUAAAUACAAAAGAGGUAAACAAACGUAAAUUCAUGCAGAAAGUCUGGUAUGUAAAUAGAUGUUAAUGGAAAUGCUAGAGUGAUACAGUUACACUGCCUUAAAGGACCACUAUAGUGCCAGGAAAACAUACUCGUUUUCCUGGCAAUAUAGGGUCUCAAGGUCCCCCCCACCCUUAGGGUCCCCCUCCUACUGGGCUCUAGGGUGAGGAAGGGGUUAAACACAUACCUUUUCUCCACCGCCGGGCUCCCUCGGCGGUGGGGACUCUCCGCCUCCUUUCCCCGUCAUCGGCUGAAGAGCUGAAGUGGUCUGGGUGCCUAUAGUGGUCCUUUAACUAAAUAGAGAACUCCAGCAAGGAAAACAGCUACUUAUACAGCUUGUGUCGAUAUGUAUCGAAAUUUCAAUAGUGACACAGUUGCACUGCCUGUAACUAGGUGGAGAGCUAUAGCAAGAACAACAGCUAUUUACAAAAGUAUCGAAAUUACAGUAGUGACACUGUUGCACUGCCUGUAACUGAAUAGAACUAUAACAAGAACAGCAGCUAUAUUAUACAGUUUAUGAUAAUACAUUGUUUGGGCUCUGAGCAGAAUACCAGAGUCCCAGGUGACUGCACGACAGCUACUUGUGAAGUUAAUGUCUAUACAUACCUAGACUGCAGUGUCUGGACUCUAAACAAGCAACAGAGUACCAGUAUACUGCAGAAAAAUAAAAAUCUCACAAAAGUGACACGGCCCUCUAUUAUGAACCGUGAGAGGCAGCGUGUAGCGGUUAGAGCAGGUGGGAAUAUCGGUAGUUAGUAACUGAGAAAUGCGGGCUGUCAAUGUUUACUUUUCGCUCCACAAAAACUAGCUAUAUAACCAAAAAGCUAGGGGUAGAAGUGUAGAAAAAGGUAAGACUAAAUGUGCUAGGAAGCCUCCUAUGCUGUCAAGUCCCUAAAUACUUGUGCCUUCAAGGGCACCCCCUUAGCCAAAAACCAACAGUCUCCUAUGGACCAGGAAGUGCCCUCUAGUGGCUGUCUAGUAGACAUCCACUAGGGGAGGACUUAACCCAGCAAGGUAAUUAUUGCAGUUUAUGAAAACUGCAAUAAUUACACUUGCAGAGUUAAGGGUAGUGGGAGUUGGCACCCAGACCACUCCAAUGGGCAGAAGUGGUCUCGGUGCCUGGAGGGUCCCUGGGUCCCUGGCAGUGUAAUUGUAUCACUCUAGCAUUUCCAUCAACAGCUAUUUACAUACCAGACUUUCUGCACAAAUUUAUGUAUGUUUACCUCUUUUGAAUUUAUACUAUUAAAAGUUCAGUUUUAUCCUCUCUCUUUAGUGAUCCCCCCGUGCCCUACCUAUCUAGAGUCACCCCCUCUUAACCCCUUAAGGACUGAGCCAAAUGUACACAAAACAAAACGUAAACAAAACCUGGCAUUUGCGCCAUAUGUCUGUCCAACCGUAAUUCACCUCUUUCAUAUUAAAUGCACCCACCCUUAUUAUAUAUCAUUUUAUUCGGGGGAAACAGGGCUUUCAUUUAAUAUCAAAUAUUUAGCUAUGAAACAUAAUUUAUUAUGAAAAAAAUAGGAGAAAAGAUUUUUUAAAAUUUUUUUAGUUCUACAUGACAUUUUAACUGUCAAUGUCAUAAUACUGUUUGCUUUUACUGCAAUAAAAUACACAUAUUUGUAUUCAGCAAAGUCUCACGUGUAAAACUGUACCCCCUAUGUACAGGUUUUAUGGUGUUUUGGGAAGUUACAGGUUCAAAUAUAGCACGUUACAUUUGAAAUUGAAAUUCGCCAGAUUGGUUACGUUGCCUUUGAAUGUUUACAUGGUGUGUUCAAUAAAAACAUGGCAACAUUUCAUUCUUUGUGUGUUAUUAGUUUAAGCAGACUGUGAUUGUCUAUUGUUGUGACUUAGAUGAUGAUCAGAUCACAUUUUUUUGACCAAUUUGUGCAGAAAUCCAUAUCAUUCCAAAGGGUUCACAUACUUUUUCUUGCAACUGUAUAUAUAUUAAUAGUAAAAUACACCUAGACAGUGUAUGUGUGUGUAUAUGUGUAUAUAUAUAUAUAUAUAUAUAUAUAUUUUUAUACUUAGAUCAUAUAUAUUUAUAAUAUAUAUAUAUGAUCUAAGUAUAUUAUUUAUUUCUUUUACACUGAUUUUUAUUUUAUUUUAUUUCCAGCCAGCAGGGGGACUAACUGUCAUUACAGGCAGCCCCCCUGCUGGCAAUGCAGCAGCCAGCUAACCCGGCCAUGUGAUUGUGAGAUCCUCGCAAGGACCUCACUAUCACAUGGCAGGGGGGGGCGGAGGGGGCGGUCCGCCCCGGGUGCCACCAGGGUGGGGGGUGCCAUGACCAGCCCCGCCGGCCCCCCCCCGCUGCAGCCGCCCGAGCGCUCUGCAGAGAGCCUCAGGCGGCUGCAGCUUUGCCCGGGUGGUGCGCUCAGCACUCCCUCCUGUCACUCCCUCACUGCAGCAUGGUCUGACGGGUACAGAGAGCAACUGUCUCCAGUACCCGGCCGGACUAACAGGAAGUGCACACUGAGUGUGCACUUCCUGUUAGUCCGGCCGGUACAGGAGACAGCUGCUCCCCUGUACCCGCCGAGGCAUACAGGGCUCCGCCACUACAGCAAAGGUGGGGGGGUGAAGAGAAAGGGGGGUGAGAAGGAGGAGAAAGGGGGAGAAGAGAGAAAGGGGGGUGAUGGGGUGAGGAGGGGAGAAAGGGGGGGGGGUGCGAGAAAGAGGAAAGGAGGGGGGAGAAAGGGGGAGAGAAAGGAGGGGGUGAGAAAGAGAAAAGGAGGGGGGGUAUAGUCGAUGGGGUGAGAAACAGAAAGGAGGGGGGUGGGGAGAAAUGAGGCAGGGUGAAAGAGAAAGGAGGGGUGAGAAAUGAGGGGGGUGAGAAAGAGAAAGGAGGGAGUGAGAAAGAUGAGGGGGGUGAGAAAGAGGGGUGGCUAGAAAGAGGGGUGAGAAAGAGAAAUUAGGAGGGGGGGUGAGAAAGAGGAAAAAGGGGGGGCAGCGAGGGGGUGAGAAAGAGAAAUUAGGAGGGGGGGGAGAGAAAUUAGAGGGGUGAGAAAUUAGUGGGGUGAGAAAGAGAAAUUAGGAGAGGGAGAGAAAUUAGGAGGGGGUUGAGAGAAAUUAGGAGGGGGGUGAGAGAAAUUAGGAGGGGGGUGAGAGAAAUUGGAGCGGGAGGAGAGAUUGACAUUCAUCACAUACACACAAUGCACCCCUUGCACACAGAAAAACACACAAUGCAUUUUACACACACAGACACACAUACACAAGCAAUGCAACUGUUACACACAAUGCACCCCUUACACACAUUCAAUGCAUCCCAUACAUACACAGAAACACACCUUGCAGCCCUUACACAUACAAACACAAUUUCACACAAUGCAUUCCUUACACACAUAUCAGGACAUCCCUUAUACACUCCACCCCCUGUGAACAAACUCAUUGGUGGAACAUGAAGGUGGACCCUGGGACCCAGACCUUGAGCUGUGUAAAGGACCCCCAAAAAAUGGAGCUGCUUCCCGUUCUCCCAGAACAUUGAUUUUGUGACCACAGUUACAAACAGCCUCCAGAGAGCCUGUUCUACACCAGACCAGUGGAGCCAGACUGCAGCUAGAGCCCAUCAUCAUCCUCAUCUGGUUGUAAGUAGGCAAUCUAGUAUAUUAUUCGUGGCACUAAGCUCAAAUUUACCUCACAUUAAAGAAACACUAUACUCCCCAGAACCAUUUCAGCUUAAUGUAGUGGUUCUGGUGUCUAUAGCCUGUCCCUGCAGGCCUUUUAAUGUAAACAUGGCGGCACUGCAGCACUGGUGUUAGUUAACAUGGCAUAUCAUAUGGGUGGGGCAUUGUGAUGUCACAUGGGGGGGGGCGGUAAACUUUACUUUUGCCUAGGGUGGCAAAAAUCCUUGCACCGGCCCUGGCUGGAGGGGGCUGUGUGAGCUGUGGCCGCACAGUGUCCCAUGGUAGUUAGGGUGCCGUGCGGCCAGUACAGCUCACACAAGCAAACAGCUGAUAAACUGGCCGCAUGGAGGAAAUGUGUAUGUGUGACUGUCUGCCUGUGACUGUAUGUGACUGUCUGUCUGUAACUGAGUGUGUGACUGUCUGCCUGUAAAUGUGUGUGUGGGGCUGCAGGGAUUUUGUAGAAGGGGGCGGGGGUUUUGUAUUGGGACAGGAGUCUUUAUAAGGGGGGAUAAGCAGGGAUUUGUGGAAGGGGGUUGCGGGGGUUUUGUAGAUGGGGCAGUACAGGAUUUGUAAAAGGGGCAGGACAGAGGUUUUGUAGGAGGGGCAGGGCAGGACAAGGGUUUUGUAGGAGGGGCUGACAGCGGUUUUGCAAAGUUUACAAAUUGUAAAAAUAAAAGAAAAACCUUUAACAUUUUUUACAGGUUUUUUGGGUGUAAAGCUAAGCACAGGAUCCGCCCCGGGUGCCAAAUGCUCUAGGUACGCCCCUGGGGCGUACUAUUAAGCCCUGCAGCGUUUAGAGCCGCUUAGAAUAGGGCGUAAUAGUACGCCCUCCGGUUUUGAGGGGUUAAACAAGGGAAUUUCCACUCUGCAGGACACUUUACCAUUUAUCCUGCCUUCUCUCCUGUCUCCCUUCCUUUUUCAGUUUUGUAGUGCAUUUCGUUGUACUAGGGCAGGGGUAGGCAACCUUUUAGUAGCACUGUGCCGAUGUAGUAUUGUGAUGUCCCAUAGCGUGCCGAUCCUAUUUUUUUUAAAUUGAGGUGUGUAUGCUGCCGUAUUCUGCUUGUUUUAUUUAUACUGUAAUUGCUUUGUAUCGUUGUAUUUGUGCAUAUAUGAGCUAUUAUAUUGUAUAUGUUCAGGAGUAGUUUGUGGUAUCGUGUAUGAUACAUAUGAAUGUGGGCUGUGUAUGGUGGCUGCUUGUGGAAUUGUGUGUGUGGAUGGAAAUGUCACAUUGUGUGUUUGGUAGUGUGUGUAUGAAUGGCGCUGUUUGGGGUAUUGCAUGUGAGAGGCUGCAUGUGGGGUUGUGUGCAUGUAUGUGGAUUGUUAGUGGUGUUGCAUUUGUGUGGAUUGUGUGUGUGUUUGUGUGUGGGCUGUUUAUAUUAUUUGUAUGAGGGGAGGGUUAUUCUGCAUUUCUGUGUAUAUCUAGCAGUGUGGAUGGCUUCCCUGGAUUCCAGGCUGGCCAGAUACAGGUUAAGGACAGGAGCUGCAACAGCAGCUGCAGGCUGCUCUACUACAGUGUGGAUUCCCAUUCACAAGUGCUGGAGCAAUGCAUAAAUUGAGGAUUGUCCUCAACCAUCUUUUCGUAUUAGCAGAUAUCUGAAGUUUCACUGGGACUCCUGAUAGGCCAAUGCCUGUUUGGCUCUAGCAGCCUUGAGUGCCGUGCAAAGACACCUUGAGUGCCGCACAUGGCACUAGUGCCGUAGGUUGCCUACCCCUGCACUAGGGGUUAAGCCCCGCUCAGGGGUAAGAUUACAUUACUAUCUCUUUUUUCCUUUUCACUUUUUGAUGUAUGGUAUCAUGCUUGAUUAAUAAAUUAUUUUAUACUACAGUUUUGGUUGUCCGUGUGCUUUAUUUCUCAUGUCGUAGUUCGCUGAUGUACUACUGUAUAUGGUGUGACAUUCUGCUUUGGCAGUUUACUUUUACAAUGUUUCUUUUCCCUUGCAGUGUAAUCUGGAUUUAUUCUGGUUAUGGCUGUUUCUCUGAGUGUGCCUGUUACAGUUGAAUUUGUUUGGUCUUCAUGCUCUCCUACUCGACCUCAUCAAAGAAAGAGGAAGUGGGUGGGUCUGCGUAAGUGGUUUUAUACUGCUAUUAUUUUGUACUGAUUGGUUGUUCUGAAAAGUUACGUUAACUGGUUCUUUGCUGCUGGAGGUUUUCAGUAAAGAAGGUUAAGCAAAUAUGAAGCUUCCUGUCUUUAAUAUAAUUUAGAUUAUUCCCUCACUCAUCACCACAAUAUUACCAAAAUUGAACACUUAAAGGAACACCCUAAGCACCAUAACCACUACAGAGUGAUGUAUUGGUUAUGGUUUCAUGAGUGCCCUAGCACCCUCCUUUCCCCUAUUGUAUGUAUAGUAAAACUGUUUUAGAACAUUUCUACUUAUUAUUAUUAUUUAUAAAUUGCCAACAAGCUACGUAACGCUGUACAAUGGGUGGACUAACAGAUACUUAUUUGUAACCAGACGAGUUGGACACACAGGAACAGAGGGGUUGAGGGCCCUGCUCAAUGACCUUACAUGGUAGAGAGAGUGCGGUAUAGUGACACAAAAGGUAAGGGUAGGGGAGGAAAGUAGGUUGCUAGGAUAGUAUUCAUGGAGGGCUUAGUGUUUCGUUUUAAUGACAGUUUCAGGAGAGGAAUCAGGGUGCGGGGAGAGAAAGCUAUUCACAGUUUAAUUGAUAAGUUUUUCUAAAGAAGUAAGUUUGCGCUUCUUACUUUUUACCGGAGUUCCAUGGACAACGGCUCCCUACCUUUAUUACAGCUGACAGAGAGCCAUAAGCUUAGCCAGAGUUAAAACUGUUGGCGGUGCAGGAACUUAACGCUUCUAUUGGUUAUAGUCGAAGUGGGGAGUAGUGAUGGUGAACAACAGGUAGGAAGUCAAACCAUUACAAAAUGAUUUUACUACUUAAAGGGAGGUUUCCUUGGUACUCAGCAAUCUAGGGUGGUUAUGGUGUUCGACUAACUUGAAGACUUGUAAUUUUUUAUUUUAUUUUUACUUUGAGUUUAUAACAGUAUUAAUUUGCCUACCAUAAUAGUUAUGGUCAAAGUGUCUGUAUUCAUCCAAAUCCAUUCAUCUUUGAUGACAGGGUGUUAGCGUUGAGCUUACCUGCUUGGCAUUGUAAGGUCACUACAGUGAUGAUUCUGCACAUUACUUGCAAUCGGUCUAUAAGGACCAUAUGUCACGGGAUAAACCUCAUUCAUUGUAAUGAUGGCAUAAAAUGUUAUUGGCCCAUAAAAGGUUACACUUAAUUCUAGAUCACCGGGAUCUUUCUUACCUCUGAAUAUAGCAUUUUGUCCAUGACAAAGACCUAUGAUGGCUACAAACAUUGGGGGGGGGAAAAUAUGCCACAGUUAAAAGCCAUUCUCCAUGACUUUUUUUUAAAUUCACAAACAAAACUUAUGUUUAUAGUAACAAUCAGAAAAAAAAUAAAACCGUUGAGGAUUUUUGUUUUUAAAUUUAGAAGAAUUUUGAAGAAUAUUUUAAAAUUAUUUAAAAUGUAAGUAAAUAGAUUAUUUAAAGGGAUACAGCUUAUUGUAUUUAUAUGUGAGUAGAAUCAUUCACUUCAGGCUUUUUGCAGUAGACAAGGUCCUUUUAGAGAAAAUGCAGUGUUUACAUUACAGCCUAGGGAUACCUCCACUGGCCUCUCCUCAUAGGUUAACUAGAGGUGCUUUCUGGGGCAGUGCUGCACAGUGUAACUGCCAUUCAGUGUAUCCACCCUCUGCAUGGAGACACUGAACUUUCCUCAUAAAGAUGCAUUGAUUUAAUGCAUCUCUGCAAGGAGAUGCUGAUUGGCCACGGCUGUGUUUGACUUGUGCUGGCUCUGCCCCUGAUCUGCCUCCUUGACAGUCUCAGACAAUCCUAUGGGAAAGCAUUGUGAUUGGCUCACAGAAUCACUUGUGUCAAGCAGGCAGAUCAGGGACAGAGGCAGGAGCUGCAGAAUACAAGUGAUUUUAUUAUAUUUAAACAGGCAAUGGAGGUACAAGUGGGUGGGGGGAGGAGAGGAAGACACUAGACAGUGGUUUUAACACUAUAGGGUCAGGAAUACAUGUUUGUGUUCCUGACCCUAUAUUGUUCCUUUAAGGAUACCACUCUGUGUGCGUGACAUUAAGACUGCGGUUAACAGGCCACUAGGUAAUGUUCUAGUUCUGACAAAAGUUAAUACACAGUAGACAUGUGCGAUUUGUUUCUUCCGAAUGUACAUUCGUACAAAUUUCAUGCCAUUCGGAUGCUUACUAAUGUCUGAAGUGGCAAAGUCCCGAAGCGACGAGGUUUGGUAGUUCGGAAGUGCAUUAGUGGUUUGGAUUUCUGAAAAGUGGCAAAACAAGAGAGAGGGAAGGAAAAUUAUGUGAAUGAUGACCGGAAUCUUGAACAAUAAGUCAAUUCAUUUUGUGCAAUUACAUCAUAUCCUGUACUCGUCACAUUGCGGCUGCCAGCGGACCCUGAAGGACGUGCAAGGGAGCUGUGCUGCAAGAGCACAGUAAGUACUUUGCUCCCUCACUGCCUGGCAUUGGAUGUUUGUCCCAUGCAGUGUCACGCAGUUGAAGUGCUGAACCAAGGCUAAUGCCAUUGGUCCGAAUUGCCGAAGCAGACAAUUAGUUUUACUUACCUGAACUUCCAAACCAAACUUUUUGCCCAUGCACAUCCCUAAUACACAGGCAGCAUGUAGAACAGCUGGACUAAAUUCUACAGUUUUAUAGAAAACAAUUCCAUGCUUUUUACCAACUUAUAGAACCAAAAUAAAACAAUGGUUCUGCCAGUUGCAAUUUAUAAUUCCUGUAUGAAAUGAUUCAAUGUCACAAAUUCAUUUACAAUACAUACAAAAACAGAAAAAAAAUAUAUAUAUAUUUCAUAAAUUUAUAACACAAGAGCUUUUUUUUGUAAUUAUUUUUAUUUUGUCAGACAUUACUGCUCAUAUAUUUGGCACUGAAAAUAUUACCGUCACAAAUAUAUAUUUUUGACCACAAAGUAUUGUGAAAAAAAAUCACAAAGCUUAUUUAUUGUUAUUUUUUAAAUAAAUCACAGUGGUCAUACAUUUUUUUUUUUUAUUCAAUGCCCUGAACAAAAAUUAACAGCAAAAAUAAAAUUAAAAUUUUUCUAAAAUUACAGCUGCAGUGCCACUUUCCUUGUUUUCUCAUUGGUAGACCAACAUCAGGAGCCAUAACACAUCAUGUCAGUGGGCGGUAAGUAAAGCUUCAGAGUCCUUAUAUGGUGUAGUGGGUAAAAUUUGUCUGGUUAUGGUAUCCUCUUCAGUGGUCAGAAAUGUACAGACAGGAGGUUAAUUUGGGUAAGGAGUGGUUGAAACAAAUAUAAUUUUUCACUGAAAUGUAACACUGACCUACGGAGGCUCCUUGGUAACAACAUGUUCCCUCUAAGAAUUUUGAAAACAAAGAAGCAACCAAUGACAGCUAUGAAAUAAAUAUUGACAUUUUGACAAAUGUGGUCAAAUGUGGUAAAAUGUGUACUUGACAAAAGACUCACUUUUAAAUCCAAACAUUACCAGAUUGCCUUUUGGUUGUUCUAAUAAGGGCACAUUUUCAAUUUUAAGAAGACUAUCCUGUACUUUUGAGUUGUAAAUAUUUUUCUUGUCACGGUCCAUAAUAUAAGUAGUACUGUAUCCAACACUGUUUUAUUCUAAUAAACCAGAAACUUUUGAAAAUUUGGUAAAAAAAAAAGUUGGACUUGAAAAAAAAAAAAAACCUGGUAUUUUUUUCUCCAAUUUUACUAUUCUGGCCUAAAAUGUUAUGAUUCCUCCUCAAUUCUGACAAUAAUUCCAAUAACAGAGAAUUAGAAUACAUUUAUUUUUUUAUGAGAAUACAGCUUAUAAAACAGAUAAGCUGUAUUGUUUAUGUCUCUAAAUGUAACUCAUUACUUGCUUUAUGUUCUAGAACCAGUAACAUAUUUGAAUUUGUCUCUGUUGAUUUUUUUCAUAAAAACAUGAUUUACAUCAAAUCACUGCUGGCCCUUCAUCACGAACAGUGACCUGUGGCGGUCUCAUUCACGUAAAGGUUUAUUAUUAACAUUAUAUGGCAGAUAUUGCUGAAACGUUGGUAAAGAGAGAGAAAGAGAGCUAAGUGGCACUGCAGGUCAUGUAGACAAAGUCACUUAACAUAGCAAAUGUAAUCACCAUGGAUAUUAGGGAAUUCAUGCUUUUAGUUUUAUAAAAAACAAUAUUUUCAUUCAACAUGCAGACCGGUUUAGAGUCAUGCAUUACUGAGAACUACGAGCAUGUGGCAGUACAAGAGCGGCAGAGUCACCCAUUACCGUUCCCAAUGCAGAUAAAGCCCCAUCCCUUAAUGCAUCUCUUCCUGUCAACCUUGAGCGUGGUCUACUUCUAUCCCUUUUGGAACCAAUCCCUUUCCUGCCAACUAAUAUAUAUAGAAGAUGAGGUCUCCAGUCUGAGAAAAUGCAGUCAUGCAGAGUUAACAGCAAUGGGAGGAAGCAACCAAUAUCAUGAAUUACAAUGCAUUGCACACAGCAUUAUGCAUUUUAAAGGGCAGACCUACAAUGUUCCCCCAUUUGAAUACACUAUAUCAAAAUUGAAUCAUCUUUGUCAGUUUAGAUAAAGCUCAAACCAGCG